rnacentral:ncRNA from 1 species
AGUCUUCAGGGCGGGGUGUAAUUCCCCACCGGCGGUAAUGCGGCAGUAAGCCGACGAGCCCGCGAGCAAAGCUGCCUUUCAGGCGGUGGCAGAGCCGGUGUGAUUCCGGGGCCGACGGUAUAGUCCGGAUGAAAGAAGC